GUAAAUGGUAGAAUGGUAGAUCACAUGACCGGGCUGGAAGGGGAGGAGCUUACCGUUUAAAAAAGAGGAUCCUGGUAGCGCUGAGGAGGAGGAGGAAGGAGACGAGGAGGAGGAGGGAGAAGAUGAGGAGGAGAAAUGUGCGGAGAAGGAGGAGGAAAGAGAUGAGGAAGGAGAUGAGGAGAGCAGCAGAGUGUGACAGAAAUUAUUCCUUUGCACAGAAGAUUAUGAGAGAGAAGAAGGCUGCACAAGGGUCUCUCUGUAAAACACUAAUCUCUUCAUUGGCCUCCAGUCGGAGCGGCUUAGCUGUUACAUCAGGAAGAUUUUACGUCCUUCCAGGGUCCAUGCAGCAGUCUGAGAUCCCAACCCAUGAUGGAGGCUGUAGGAGACCAUUAUCUGGAGGGCUUUUUCACUAAAGUCCAUGGACCGCUUAGGCCUCCUUUACACACUGCUCUAAAUCACCAUCAAUAUGUAGCAGAGAGGCGACUUAAUGUCUGAGCUCUCUCCUGUUACUUCUCCCAUACCCUAAUGAUAUUAUAGAGCCUGACUGAAUAUGAAUACAAUAUGCUGUGCUAGCAAAAAAUCACCAGCUUCAAACUAAUCGUAGCGGAACCAGAGGCAGAUUGACGUGGGCCUGAAAAGGGGGCAUCCAUCCAUAGACACACAACAGGAGAAGCUUGUAUUGAUGUUGCUAUAUGAACAUGUUGUCCCAGUGUAUGUAUUUUAUAUGUAUGUGACCCAUGCUGCAGGGUAUAUACUUGAAGUUUUAUAAUCUACGUUAUGACUAUGCAACCUAUAUGGAUGGUGCAGUGUCCUGGUGACAGUUCUCCUUCUGCCAUAAAGAAAACAGCUGUCAUGGAGAAAUUAUCUUGGUCUACCGCAAUGCUUAACCCCUUAAGGACCGGGGGUUUUUCUGUUUUUCCAUUUUCGUUUUUUGCUCCUUGCCUUUAAAAAAAUCAUAACUCUUUCAAUUUUGCACCUAAAAAUCCAUAUGAUUGCUUAUUUUUUGCGCCACCAAUUCUACUUUGUAAGAACGUCAGUCAUUUUGCCCAAAAAUGUACAGUGAAAUGGAAAAAAAAAUUAUUGUGCGUGCGACAAAAUUGAAAAAAAAACGCAGUUUUGUAAAUUUUGGGGGCUUCCGUUUCUACGUAGUACAUUUUUCGGUAAAAAUGACACCUUAUCUUUAUUCUGUAGGUCCAUACGAUUAAAAUGAUCCCCUACUUAUAUAGGUUUGAUUUUGUCGUACUUCUGGAAAAAAUCAUAACUACAUGCAGGAAAAUGUAUAAGUUUAAAAUUGUCCAUAAAAAGUGACCAAAAAUGCACUAUUUUAGACUUUGGAAUUUUUUUGCGCGUACGCCAUUUACCGUGUUGUUUAAUUAAUGAUAUAUUUUUAUAAUUCGGACAUUUCCGCACGCGGUGAUACCAUAUAUGUUUAUUUUUAUUUACACUGUGUUUU